GAUACAGAGAUGAUAUUGAGAAAGAUGCCAAAAUUGAGAAAGCUGAAUUGCAUAUUUUCGGGGGCAUUUGGUUAUUCAGACAAAGUGAAGGGAAGGUGUGUUUGUUUUCCGAGAUUAGAGUUUCUAAGUCACUUCAAGCUUGUUUCCAACAGCUAUCCAGCUAAACUUCCACAUGUCUUCAGUUUUCCCUCAAAACUUAGGGAAUUGACUCUGUCAAAGUUUCAUCUGCCAUGGAGCCAAAUCUCGAGCAUUGGAGAUUCUAAAGGUACUUCUCAGAGCCUUUGAAGGGCAUGAAUGGGAAGUGAAAGAUUCAGAAUUCCCUGAACUCAAAUACUUAGAAUUAGACGACCUCAACAUUGCACAUUCGUCCGUCUCCGAGGAUGCUUGAACCUUUGGUUUUAACCAAAUCUGGUAUGUUGCUAGUUCAGCCUGCCAGGAACUUCAAGCGAUUCAGUGUGAUGAAAUGACAAAUGAUGUGUUCAAAGUUACAAUACAGCCUCCUGAUUGGGAUAGAAAUUCAUCUCCUUGGCUCGUUAUCUGGCUAGCAAACAGAAGAUGGAGGAGGAACUCAGCUAGUUGAAGGAUCUUCAGCAAUAAGACAUGUGUUUGAAUAAAUUUCAACUCUUAGUGAAACGUGUAAUGAAUUUAUGAGCAAGAGCUCAUGUCCUAUUUCUGAGCUUUGUGGAACUAUUGGAAAUGUGAAACUAUUGUUAAAAUAAAUUGCACUUAA